rnacentral:rRNA from 1 species
UAAAAACCCCGACUUCGGAAGGGGUGUAUUUAUUAGAUACAAAACCAAUGCCCUUCGGGGCUCUUUGGUGAUUCAUGAUAACUAUACGAAUCGCACGGCCUUGCGCCGGCGAUGGUUCAUUCAAAUUUCUUCCCUAUCAACUUUCGAUGUUUGGGUAUUGGCCAAACAUGGUUGCAACGGGUAACGGAGGGUUAGGGCUCGACCCCGGAGAAGGAGCCUGAGAAACGGCUACUACAUCCAAGGGAGGCAGCAGGCGCGCAAAUUACCCAAUCCCGACUCGGGGAGGUAGUGACAAUAAAUACUGAUACAGGGCCCUUUCGGGCCUUGUAAUUGGAAUGAGUACAAUUUAAAUCCCUUAACGAGGAACAAUUGGAGGGCAAGUCUGGUGCCAGCAGCCGCGGUAAUUCCAGCUCCAAUAGCGUAUAUUAAAGUUGUUGUGGUUAAAAAGCUCGUAGUUGAACCUUGGGCCUGGCUGGCCGGUCCGCCUCACCGCGUGCACUGGUCCGGCCGGGCCUUUCCCUCUGUGGAACCCCAUACCCUUCACUGGGCGUGGCGGGGAAACAGGACAUUUACUUU